UUCAAGAGUACGUGAAACCGUCCAGGGGUAAACCUGCGAAACUCGAAUGAACGAACGGAGAGAUUCAUCGUCAUUCCUCGGCGCGCGUGCGUCGGUUCGAUGCGCGUCGGUCUCGGCCGGCGUGCACGUGCCGCGCGCGUACAGCACCGGGGACGGCGUGCACUUCUCUCUCAGUAAUACAUCGCGACCCGUUCGCGGUCGGUCUAAGCGCCCUCCGGGAGUCCACGCUUCGUUCGCGUCGCGUAGACCGAUAGGUGUCUCGCCGACCGGCCCGCGGACGGUACAAGUAACGAAACGCGCACGCGCCUAUGCGCGCGUCCGGCCCGACGCAAGGCAACGUCGCGUCCCUCGUCCUGCCCGAGCGCGGACCGAGGGCGCGGCGCGCCUGUCUCUGGCAGCCGUGCAGUCUCGGACCGUGCGCGUCUCCGUCUGCGAUGAUUCAGUUUCGGGCACUCGCAGGACCCGUCU
rnacentral:rRNA from 1 species